rnacentral:lncRNA from 1 species
AGACUGAAAAGAGAAAACCAGUUGUAGUCCCUGCUAACAAGCGAACGCGUGUAAAUAAUGGUGGUCCGAUGCCUCCUGCUAAAGCUGGCCGUUUGACGAAUGCAUAUGUCUCAUCUUUCCCGGCACCUCCUCCAUUUGUAAGGUCUCCCUCCCACACCCAGUACCCUGCUCCAGUCCCAGGAUACCCAUCCCCACCUCCCAUGUAUGGAAGCAGGAGCCCACCCACCAACCCCUAUGCUUACUCACCGGAAGCAGUCCCUCCUCCCCUUGCUGGUUCAUACCCUGGAGCUCCCAUGAAUUAUCCCGCAUACGGGGGCUACGGUAAUGGUUUGGCACCAGCAUAUCAGCAGGCUUACUACCGAUAGACAACGAUGAC